AAAUUGAAGAGUUUGAUCAUGGCUCAGAUUGAACGCUGGCGGCAGGCCUAACACAUGCAAGUCGAACGGUAACAGGAAGCGCUUGCUGCUUCGCUGACGAGUGGCGGACGGGUGAGUAAUGUCUGGGAAACUGCCUGAUGGAGGGGGAUAACUACUGGAAACGGUAGCUAAUAC
rnacentral:rRNA from 1 species